rnacentral:rRNA from 1 species
UACGUAGGGCGCAAGCGUUGUCCGGAAUUAUUGGGCGUAAAGAGCUCGUAGGCGGCUUGUCACGUCGGAUGUGAAAGCCCGGGGCUUAACCCUGAGUCUGCGUUCGAUACGGGCAGGCUAGAGGCAGGUAGGGGAGAACGGAAUUCCCGGUGUAGCGGUGAAAUGCGCAGAUAUCGGGAGGAACACCGGUGGCGAAGGCGGUUCUCUGGGCCUGUACUGACGCUGAGGAGCGAAAGCGUGGGGAGCGAACAGG